rnacentral:rRNA from 1 species
AUUGAACGCUAGCGGUAUGCUUUACACAUGCAAGUCGAACGAGUGGCGGACGGGUGAGUAAUAUAUCGGACCGUGCCCUGUCGCGGGGGAUAACUACUCGAAAGAUUCGCUAAUACCGCAUACUCUUGGAGCGGCCGAUAUCGGAUUAGCUAGUUGGGGGGGUAAAGGCGCACCAAGGCCACGAUCCGUAGCUGGUCUGAGAGGACGACCAGCCACACUGGGACUGAGACACGGCCCAGACUCCUACGGGAGGCAGCAGUGGGGAAUAUUGGACAAUGGGGGAAAGCCUGAUCCAGCCAUACCGCGUGUAUGAGAAGGCCUUCGGGUUGUAAAGUACUUUUGGCAGGGAAGCGGUAUCUAAAGAAGAAGCACCGGCUAACUACGUGCCAGCAGCCGCGGUAAUUC